CCCGGAAGUGACCAACAGGUACGGCUCCUAGACGGGGGCCCCACAGGGCUAUGCGUGCUGCUCCUGCCCCAAGCACCAGCUCCACACUCCCAUUGGCCAGUUUCUGGCCAAUGGGAACUGGGGAUGCAGUGCCUGCGGGUGAGGCACAGAGCUUCCUGUCUGUGCCCCCCCGCACCUAGGACCCAGACCUGCUGGUUGCUUCCGGGGUGCAGGGUGUUGCCAGAACAGGCAGGGAGCCUGCAUUAGCCCUGCUGUGCCACUAACGGGAGCCGCCCAAGAACAAGAUGCUGCUAUGUGCUGGAACACAUGAAGAAGCCAGGCUUUGAGAUGCAGAACCUGGAGACUCGGGUGGAGGUGUGACCCUCGUUCUGUGACAGGAGUAGGACCUUCAGCAAUAGAGAGAACAGGGAAAGGCGUAAGGAAAGCCCUUGUCCCAAGGAAGGAAGAGAACAUCUCCCUUGGAGUGACGUACAAUCCCUGCUCUGGAGCAGUACCGCAGAC